rnacentral:rRNA from 1 species
UACGGAGGGGACUAGCGUUGUUCGGAAUUACUGGGCGUAAAGCGCACGUAGGCGGAUUUGUAAGUCAGGGGUGAAAUCCCGGGGCUCAACCUCGGAACUGCCUUUGAUACUGCAAAUCUCGAGUCCGGAAGAGGUGAGUGGAAUUCCUAGUGUAGAGGUGAAAUUCGUAGAUAUCGGGAGGAACACCAGUGGCGAAGGCGACUUUCUGGCCUGUUCUUGACGCUGAGGCGCGAAAGCUAGGGGAGCAAACGGG